GACGAACGCUGGCGGCGUGCUUAACACAUGCAAGUCGAACGGAAAGGCCUCUUUCGGGGGGUACUCGCGUGGCGAACGGGUGAGUAACACGUGAGUAACCUGCCCUUGACUUUGGGAUAACUUCCGGAAACUGGGGCUAAUACCGGAUAGGAGCUCCUGCUGCAUGGUGGGUGUUGGAAAGUUUCGGCGGUUGGGGGUGGACUCGCGGCUUAUCAGCUUGUUGGUGGGGUAGUGGCUUACCAAGGCUUUGACGGGUAGCCGGCCUGAGAGGGUGACCGGCCACAUUGGGACUGAGAUACGGCACAGACUGCUACGGGAGGCAGCAGUGGGGAAUAUUGCACAAUGGGUGGAAGCCUGAUGCAGCAACGCCGUGUGCGGGAUGACGGCCUUCGGGUUGUAAACCGCUUUCGCACAUGACGAAGCUUUGUGUGACGGUAGUGGGUAAAGAAGCACCGGCUAACUACGUG
rnacentral:rRNA from 1 species